rnacentral:tRNA from 2 species
GCGCCCGUAGCUCAGUCGGCAGAGCAACUGACUUUUAAUCAGUGGGUCGUAGGUUCGAUUCCUACCGGGCGCACCA